rnacentral:rRNA from 1 species
UGCUCCAUGAUCUAAAUAGCCGCAGUAACUUAACUGUGCUAAGGUAGCAUAAUCAUUAGCCUUCUAAUUAAAGGAUAGAAUGAAAGGCAACACGAAUAGAAAAAUGUCUCAUAUACUUAUAACGAAACUUACAAAAAAGUAAAAAGGCUUAUAUAACCCGGAAGGACGACAAGACCCUAUCAAACUUCAAAUUAAAAAUUAUGCUGGGGCGGCACACCAAUAAAAACUUUAAUACCUAACCAACAGACCUUAUAAAAUUAUAACAGAAAUAAGUUACUGUAGGGAUAACAGCGCAAUAUACUCUAAAAGCUCAUAUUUAAGAGUAAGAUUACGACCUCGAUGUUGAAUAGCUACCUAAAGGGUGCAAAAGCUCAGAAAGGAGGUCUGUUCGACCAUUAAAAAGCUACA